rnacentral:rRNA from 1 species
AGGUCUUAGUGAUCCGGUGGUCCCGAAUGGAAGGGUCAUCUCUCAAAGGAUAAAAGGUACUCCGGUGAUAACAGGCUAAUUCCUCCCAAGAGUUCAUAUCGACGGAGGUGUUUGGCACCUCGAUGUCGGCUCAUCACAUCCUGGGGCUGAAGUAGGUCCCAAGGGUAUGGAUGUUCGCCAUUUAAAGUGGUACGCGAGCUGGGUUCAGAACGUCGUGAGACAGUUCGGUCCCUAUCUGC